CAGACUGAUCCAAUUAUUACAGCUUCAUAGUAAGGUGGUGUUUGGUUGCCUAAAUGUGGCAAUAGAAUAAUUUUUUUUUUCCAUUUCUAACUUGGAAGAGGAUUCUUCCAACAAUUUUUCAUUUAGGGAAUGCACCACACUCUCGAUGUGCGUACAGAGAAGAUGGCUGGCUGGCUGGAUCCAGGGUUUUAAUGUUUCCAGGUGAGGAAGAGGAGCUUUAGGAAAGGAUAUAAAUCUACUCCCAAAGUUGUACACAGAGAACGGUGGAGUUGGGAUCGAACUUGCAUCUCUGCGGACAACCUCAUUGAUGAAGGCAGGGACUCGCUGAGGUUACGUGAACCGGUCUCCAACCAUUGAUAUUGGCCCAUUUACUUAUUUCACAGGACAAGAGCAUGGGAACAACCAUCUCCUGGAAUGGCCCUUCCACAGGAAGAGAGGAGGACACAUGGCACAGAGGAAGGAUGGGGCACCUGGAUUCAAAAUCUGCUUACACCAUCCACGGAGCCUGGGAUGUUGAAGAAUUAGUUUUUUCUCUUGGAACUUGCUUUCCUUACUUGUAAAAUAAAGUUAAUCCUACAAACA
rnacentral:lncRNA from 1 species